GGUGAUUUAGCUCAGUGGUAGAGCGCUUGCCUAGCAAGCGCAAGGCCCUGGGUUCAGUCCCCAGCUCCG
rnacentral:tRNA from 1 species